rnacentral:rRNA from 1 species
UACGUAGGGUGCGAGCGUUGUCCGGAAUUACUGGGCGUAAAGAGCUUGUAGGUGGUUUGUCGCGUUGUUCGUGAAAUCUCACGGCUCAACUGUGAGCGUGCGGGCGAUACGGGGCAGACUAGAGUACUGCAGGGGAGACUGGAAUUCCUGGUGUAGCGGUGAAAUGCGCAGAUAUCGGGAGGAACACCGGUGGCGAAGGCGGGUCUCUGGGCCGAUACUGACGCUGAGGAGCGAAAGCGUGGGGAGCGAACAGG